GUGGGGAAUAUUGGACAAUGGGGGGAACCCUGAUCCAGCCAUGCCGCGUGUGUGAAGAAGGCCUUUUGGUUGUAAAGCACUUUAAGCGAGGAGGAGGCUACCGAGAUUAAUACUCUUGGAUAGUGGACGUUACUCGCAGAAUAAGCACCGGCUAACUCUGUGCCAGCAGCCGCGGUAAUACAGAGGGUGCGAGCGUUAAUCGGAUUUACUGGGCGUAAAGCGUGCGUAGGCGGCUUUUUAAGUCGGAUGUGAAAUCCCCGAGCUUAACUUGGGAAUUGCAUUCGAUACUGGGAAGCUAGAGUAUGGGAGAGGAUGGUAGAAUUCCAGGUGUAGCGGUGAAAUGCGUAGAGAGCUGGAGGAAUACCGAUGGCGAAGGCAGCCAUCUGGCCUAAUACUGACGCUGAGGUACGAAAGCAUGGGGAGCAAACAGGAUUAGAUACCCCAGUAGUCC
rnacentral:rRNA from 1 species